GUAAAAUUAAAAAACAAGGAGAAGUUUGAGCAGUGUCCACAUUACCUUGAGUUGGUGUGGUGUGUACCACACUGCACGGCUCGGUGGUGAAGUUUGGUUUGGUUUUUUUACAAGGCCAAGCUGGUAUUAGAAAUGUUAAUUUUAUCAAUGCAGCACUUUCAAUUCAGUGAGACAAUGAGAGUUGUUUGUGUCACAGACCAGCUCUAAGGACCAGCAUCUGAGUAACUUGGAUCUCCUUAAACUCAUGAUAAUGUUUCCUUAGGGCAGGAGGAGGCAGGGAUCCCAGCUCUUCUACUUCACUCUAACAACUCCAGCUAAACACAGGUCUGAAGGCAGGCUGAUGGUAGUCACAGGUACAAAGCUGACUUGAUCCAGGAGAAGGAUGCCUCUGAAAGGAAGGGAGAAUCACCUUUAAGACUUUGAUAAUAAGAGUUGCUCCAACAACUCCAACAACAACAACUUCCAUGAAACUAAACAAGAUAGGUAAAGAUUGAAACCAGAAUCUGCACAACCCUUUUCUCAAGUCUUCCACCCACUGGCACAUCACCUACAAAACAGGACACUUGAACAAAGCAGACAGAAGGUUGUAACUGUGAGUGUUUUGGCCACAGAGGAAGCCAUGAAACCCAUCCUGGCCUAAGUUGGAACUGAAACUUCUCCAGCUGUUACUGUGUUUCCUACGGCAGGAAAAAAGGGGAGCUGUAGAGAAACUUCCAUCACAGAUCUGAGAAAGAAAUUUAUUCCUGUCAGAUAUCUGGAUUGCAGACUGCCAAGUAUCAAGUACUUCAAAGGAGAACAGAUUUGAAAACAAACAAAGUACCCAAUACGAAGAGUUGAAUUUAGGUGUUUUAAAAAAUAAAAACCAAGACAUAUACAAUAAAACCCUCUUAUAUGAAGAAACUCUUUUACUAUGUAAAGCAAGGGAUAAAUGAUGCUCUCUUACCCUGUGAAGCAAUACAUUGAAUAGGGAUGA